GCAGCGACGCCGCGUGAGGGAUGAAGGCCUUCGGGUCGUAAACCUCUUUCAGCAGGGAAGAAGCGCAAGUGACGGUACCUGCAGAAGAAGCACCGGCUAACUACGUGCCAGCAGCCGCGGUAAUACGUAGGGUGCAAGCGUUGUCCGGAAUUAUUGGGCGUAAAGAGCUCGUAGGCGGUCUGUCGCGUCUGCUGUGAAAACCUAGGGCUUAACUCUGGGCGUGCAGUGGGUACGGGCAGGCUAGAGUGCGGUAGGGGAGACUGGAAUUCCUGGUGUAGCGGUGAAAUGCGCAGAUAUCAGGAGGAACACCGGUGGCGAAGGCGGGUCUCUGGGCCGUAACUGACGCUGAGGAGCGAAAGCAUGGGGAGCGAACAGGAUUAGAUACCCUGGUAGUCCAUGCCGUAAACGUUGGGCGCUAGGUGUGGGGCACAUUCCACGUGUUCUGCGCCGCAGCUAACGCAUUAAGCGCCCCGCCUGGGGAGUACGGCCGCAAGGCUAAAACUCAAAGGAAUUGACGGGGGCCCGCACAAGCGGCGGAGCAUGCGGAUUAAUUCGAUGCAACGCGAAGAACCUUACCAAGGCUUGACAUGGGAUGAAAACUCGUAGAGAUACGGGGUCCGCAAGG
rnacentral:rRNA from 1 species